CUUACUUUUACUCAAAUACACCAACAGCAUCAAUACAUUUUGCUUUAAGAGAAAGUCGUAAGUUCAGAGGAAUGAUUUGCCAAGGAGUUAGUAUCAGAACUCCCGCUUACAAAAGGCCUGAUG